AGUGAGAGCUAUGUUACCCUACGGGGAGCUAACCUGGUGAAGUGAAACAUCUCAGUAGCCAGAGGAAGAGAAAUCAAACGAGAUUCCGUCAGUAGCGGCGAGCGAAAGCGGAUUAGGACAAACCCAAUGCUUGCAUUGGGGGUUGUAGGACCAUAACGUGAGACUAAAGAAGAUAGAUGAAAUACUUGGAAAAGUGUAGCAUAGAAGGUGAAACUCCUGUAAUUUAAAUUUUCAAUAGCUCUAUUGGUAUCCUGAGUAGGUCGGAACACGUGAUAUUUUGACUGAAACUGGGGGGACCACCCUCCAAUCCUAAAUACUACUUACAGAUCGAUAGUGAACAAGUACCGUGAGGGAAAGGUGAAAAGUACUCCAGCGAGGAGAGUGAAAUAGAACCUGAAACCAUUAGCUUACAAUCAUUCAGAGCCCUAUGAUUUAUCAGGGUGAUGGACUGCCUUUUGCAUAAUGAGCCUGCGAGUUGUGGUGUCUGGCAAGGUUAAGUCAAGUACGAAGCCGUAGCGAAAGCGAGUCUUAAUAGGGCGAAUUAGUCAGAUGCUGCAGACCCGAAACGAAGUGAUCUAUCCAUGAGCAGGUUGAAGCUGGUGUAAGAGCCAGUGGAGGACCGAACCCAUAGGCGUUGAAAAGUCUCGGGAUGACUUGUGGAUAGGGGUGAAAGGCCAAUCAAACUUCGUGAUAGCUGGUUCUCUCCGAAAUAUAUUUAGGUAUAGCCUUGUGUUGUAGCAUAUAGGGGUAGAGCACUGAAUGGGCUAGGGCUGCUUACCGCGGUACCAAACCCUAUCAAACUAUGAAUACUAUAUGUGGAAUCACAGGAGUCAGGCGAUGGGUGAUAAAAUCCACCGUCGAGAGGGGAACAACCCAGACUAACAGCUAAGGUCCCUAAGUCACAUCUAAGUGGAAAACGAUGUGGAGUUACUGUGACAACCAGGAGGUUGGCUUAGAAGCAGCCAUCCUUUAAAGAAAGCGUAACAGCUCACUGGUCUAGAUAAGGACUUCUGCGGCGAAGAUGUAACGGGGCUCAAGACACGUACCGAAGCUUUGGGUGUGCAUUUAUGCACGCGGUAGCGGAGCGUUCCGUAAGCCUGUGAAGCGGUCUGGUAAUGGGCCGUGGAGGUAUCGGAAGUGCGAAUGUUGACAUGAGUAGCGAUAAACAGUGUGAGAUGCACUGUCGCCGAAAGCCUAAGGGUUCCUACGCAAGGCUAAUCCGCGUAGGGUGAGCCGGUCCCUAACACGAGCCCGAAGGGGGUAGUGGAUGGAAAUACGGUUAAUAUUCCGUAGCCUGGAGAUGUGUGACGGAUUCCUUAUAUUGUCUGGUCUUAUUGGAUUGAUCAGGCUUUGACGGGGUCCCAGGAAAUAGCCUCUCCGUAUAGACCGUACCCGAAACCGACACAGGUAGGCUGGUAGAGUAUACCAAGGCGCUUGAGAGAAGGGUGUUGAAGGAACUCGGCAAAUUGCCUCCGUACCUUCGGAAGAAGGAGGCCCGAUAUAAGCGCAAGCUCUUAUCGGGGGCACAGGCCAGGGGGUAGCGACUGUUUAACAAAAACACAGGGCUCUGCUAAGUCGGCUUCAAGACGACGUAUAGGGUCUGACGCCUGCCCGGUGCCUGAAGGUUAAGUGGAGGGGUGCAAGCUCCGAAAUGAAGCCCAGGUAAACGGCGGCCGUAACUAUAACGGUCCUAAGGUAGCGAAAUUCCUUGUCGGGUAAGUUCCGACCUGCACGAAUGGUGUAACGAUCUGGACACUGUCUCAGCCAUGAGCUCGGUGAAAUUGUAGUAACGGUGAAGAUGCCGUUUACCCGCAGUGGGACGAAAAGACCCUGUGCACCUUUACUAUAGCUUAGUAUUGACCUUGGAUAAAUGAUGUGUAGGAUAGGUUGGAGACUGUGAAGUGGCGUCGCUAGGCGUUGUGGAGUCAUUGUUGAAAUACAACCCUUUGUUUAUCUGAGGCCUAACCCCAUAUUGUGGGGGACAUUGCUUGGUGGGUAGUUUGACUGGGGUGGUCGCCUCCAAAAGAGUAACGGAGGCUUCUAAAGGUUCCCUCAGUACGCUUGGUAACCGUGCGUAGAGUGCAAUGGCAUAAGGGAGCUUGACUGAGAGACAUACAGGUCGAUCAGGUACGAAAGUAGAGCAUAGUGAUCCGGUGGUUCCGCAUGGAAGGGCCAUCGCUCAAAGGAUAAAAGGUACGCCGGGGAUAACAGGCUGAUCUCCCCCAAGAGCUCACAUCGACGGGGAGGUUUGGCACCUCGAUGUCGGCUCAUCGCAUCCUGGGGCUGAAGUAGGUCCCAAGGGUAUGGCUGUUCGCCAUUUAAAGCGGUACGCGAGCUGGGUUCAGAACGUCGUGAGACAGUUCGGUCCCUAUC
rnacentral:rRNA from 1 species